GGAAAGUGUACCUAGGGUUCCACAAUUCCUAUGGAGUUGGUUUGGUCCAAGCGGUACAAGCGUUUACGCUACACCGAUAGGGAUAAAAGCCCAGGCGGU
rfam:Desulfotomaculum ferrireducens strain GSS09, complete genome.